GACGAACGCUGGCGGCGUGCCUAAUACAUGCAAGUCGAACGCAGUGGGGACGGGUGAGUAACACGUGGGUAACCUCCCAUCAGAGGGGAUAACACUUGGAAACAGGUGCUAAACCGAUACUGAUGGAUGGACCCGCGGUGCAUUAGCUAGUUGGUGGGGUAACGGCUCACCAAGGCCACGAUGCAUAGCGGACCUGGAGGGUGAAUCGGCCACACGGGAACUGAGACACGGCCCAUACUCCUACGGGAGGCAGCAGUAGGGAAUUUUCGGCAAUGGACGAAAGUCGGACCGGGCAACGCCACGUGAGGGAAGAAGGUUUUCGGAUCGUAAAGCUCUGUUGUUAGAGAAGCGGUAUCUAACCAGAAAGCCACGGCUAACUACGUGCCAGCAGCCGCGGUAAUUC
rnacentral:rRNA from 1 species